ACCGAAGACCAGUGGAGUCUCAUUUGGAAAACAGUCUACUGUGGUACCAUACGUACUGUGCUAUGACAUUUUGGGAAGUAAAUACACAGAGAACAUAGGAAGGCUUCAGAGAAAUGACCAAUUAGGACUGAUCCAAUACUGAAGGACAGCAGGUGCAGGCACCUAGAUGAAAAAUGUGAAGAUCUCCUCAAUUUAAGGUAAGGUUUCUCCCUUGUAUGAUCUGACUUUAUAUUGUUCUAUGAUGAUACCAUCUAUCUUUUCAUAUUUGUGCAAAUCUUUCUAAAACAGAAAAUGGACUCAGUUCAAUGGAUAUCAAUCAAUAAAGAGGUAUACAGAUGAGGAGGCAUACAAAGGUAUGUCAAUUGGAAUUGGUAUGUUAUGCAGAUCACAUGUACCAUCUUCCUCCAUUACCUCUUCAAUGAAAAUCCCAUAGGCCUCUACAUUAUGGACAAGACUUCACCCUCACUACACAUCUGAUGAAUAUAACAGGAAACCUGUUCGAUCACCAUGCACUGAAAAAUCAUUCUGGCUAUGGAUACGGAGAACAUCAACACCUUAACAUCAACACACCAGAG
rnacentral:lncRNA from 1 species